GUUGAUUUUGAUCCUUGGUGCUGUGUGGUGAGAAGCCUGAGACGUCGGCUCAUCUAUUCUAAUGGUGUAAGAAGGUAAGGGAGGUUUGACCCCUUUUAUUUAAUGCUAAUAUUGCUUCUAUUUUAUGAAACAAGGAUUCUGGGUCAGCUUUGGAUCGCUUGGCGUGGUUGCGUGUUCAUGGAAAUUCAAAGGAUGUUCCUCGGCUCUUUGUGGCGUUAUGGCGGAUUUGGACCAUUGUAAUCAG
rnacentral:misc_RNA from 1 species